ACACUCCUGCGGGAGGCAGCAGUGGGGAAUUUUGGACAAUGGGCGAAAGCCUGAUCCAGCAAUGCCGCGUGAGUGAAGAAGGCCUUCGGGUUGUAAAGCUCUUUUGUCAGGGAAGAAACGGUGAGAGCUAAUAUCUCUUGCUAAUGACGGUACCUGAAGAAUAAGCACCGGCUAACUACGUGCCAGCAGCCGCGGUAAUACGUAGGGUGCAAGCGUUAAUCGGAAUUACUGGGCGUAAAGCGUGCGCAGGCGGUUUUGUAAGUCUGAUGUGAAAUCCCCGGGCUCAACCUGGGAAUUGCAUUGGAGACUGCAAGGCUAGAAUCUGGCAGAGGGGGGUAGAAUUCCACGUGUAGCAGUGAAAUGCGUAGAUAUGUGGAGGAACACCGAUGGCGAAGGCAGCCCCCUGGGUCAAGAUUGACGCUCAUGCACGAAAGCGUGGGGAGCAAACAGGAUUAGAAACCCGUGUAGUCCCAUG
rnacentral:rRNA from 1 species